GCCGAAGUGGCGGAAUUGGCAGACGCGCACGGUUCAGAACCGUGUCUCGACUAAAUCGGGAUGUGGGUUCAAGUCCCACCUUCGGCA
rnacentral:tRNA from 1 species